UCAAAUAUUUCUGCGGUUUGAUG
rnacentral:siRNA from 1 species